rnacentral:rRNA from 1 species
GAUGAACGCUGACAGAAUGCUUAACACAUGCAAGUCAACUUGAACUUCGGUUUGGGUGGCGGACGGGUGAGUAACGCGUAAAGAACUUGCCUCACAGUUAGGGACAACAUUUGGAAACGAAUGCUAAUACCUGAUACUAUGAUUUUAGGGCAUCCUAGAAUUAUGAAAGCUAUAUGCGCUGUGAGAGAGCUUUGCGUCCCAUUAGCUAGUUGGAGAGGUAACGGCUCACCAAGGCGAUGAUGGGUAGCCGGCCUGAGAGGGUGAACGGCCACAUGGGGACUGAGAGCCGGCCCUUACUCCUGCGUGAUUCACCCCCCUUGUU